GUUGUGCGCUAAUUGCUGAUGAUACGGUGCAUACAUUCUUAUGGUUGAUGCGGACAUGGUGCCUAGCAAUGGGUGGACAAGGUCCAAGAAUUUUGUUAUCUGAUCAAAAUGACAACAUCAAAGCAGCUGUUGGAGCAAUCUUGACAAACACCCAACACUACUUCAGCCUGUGGAGUAUAUUGGAGAAGAUCCCAAGCCGUCUUGAUUAUCUCAGCAUGUGGCAUGAAACAUUUAUGGCAAAGUUUAGGAAGUGCAUA
rnacentral:misc_RNA from 1 species